GAGCUGUGAUGAGAAAUUGUCAUGCACCACUCUGACUAUUAUCAGGUUGAUGAUAAUUUUAUGUACCCAUUCAAUUUCUGAGCUC
rnacentral:snoRNA from 1 species